rnacentral:rRNA from 1 species
UACGGGGGGAGCAAGCGUUGUUCGGAUUUACUGGGCGUAAAGGGCGCGUAGGCGGCCACUGCAAGUCAGUUGUGAAAUCUCCGGGCUUAACCCGGAAAGGUCAACUGAUACUGCAGGGCUAGAGUGCAGAAGGGGCAACUGGAAUUCUCGGUGUAGCGGUGAAAUGCGUAGAUAUCUGGAGGAACACCGGUGGCGAAGGCGGCAUCCUGGACCAACACUGACGCUGAGGAGCGAAAGCCAGGGGAGCAAACGGG